AACGAUCAUCUUUUCCUUUCGAGUGUGCUUUAUACGGAAAAUUCUUUUUGAUAAUCUUUUACUUCAUUAUGAAGGAAUCCCAUAUAUCUGCGUAUAUAUUCUCUGUAUCACUUCACCAUGCCAUGAAGUUUCAUGCUUGCAAUAGUUUUGCACUUAGAGGGUUUUUGUAAUUUUCAGUGAUGAACGAUCAUCUUUUCCUUUCGAGUGUGCUUUAUACGGAAAAUUCUUUUUGAUAAUCUUUUACUUCAUUACGAAGGAAUCCCAUUUAUCUGCGUAUAUAUUCUCUGUAUCACUUCACCAUGCCAUGAAGUUUCAUGCUUGCAAUAGUUUUGCACUUAGAGGGUUUUUGUAAUUUUCUGUGUUGAUAGCUAAAAUACGCAAAAGAGAGUGAAAGUGACAAUGGAAGAGCGUUCUUCAAGCACGAAAAGAGCUCGGCCUACGGAUGAGUUUAUUCAAUUGGUGUUUUCGUGGUCUCUUGAAGACAUUUUUAAUGAGGAUCUGUACAGAAACCAGGUUCGUUCUUUGUUACUCUUUUGGAUUCUGGUGGUAAGUUUUCAGCAGAGUAUUUAACAUUUUUUGCAGGUCUUAGUUUGAUCAUUGAUGAAUAACUGUAGCUUAAUAUUUCAGCAGAGUAUUUAACAUUUUUGUGCUUAAACUCGUAAUUAUUCUGAAUUUACUUUUGGAUUGCAUGGUGCUUAAAUUUGCAUGUAAUUAGAGGGGCUUUUACGCAAUUGAGAGAUUCGGUAGAGAAGUUCAUAAAUUUGGGUCAUCUCAAUGAGAUGAUCUUAGAG
rnacentral:lncRNA from 1 species